rnacentral:lncRNA from 1 species
GGUGUGGUGGUCAGCUGUUUGUUUAAAAUAAGACAAACAGAAAACAAAAUAAACAGAAAGGGACAGAAUGGCCAGAUUGCUAGCGGCGCUGGUAUGCCCGCGUAUUGCGCGGCUAAAGCUCGCCGGAUGGGGUGGUUCUUGCCGGCAAUCUGGACCAUAAACACACACUAACACAAAAAUUCAUACCAGCAUUUGGGGUAUUAUUUGAAAAAGGGGCCAAAAGUAGUCCUGCAUCUCCCUGCGGUCAUACCUAUACACAUUAUUGUCCUCCCACUAGAGGAUUCAACCUCACCAUGACGUCCUCUUCCUUGACGUCCCCCAAAUCUUCCCUGCAAACAUUCACUUCCCCUACUUACCGCCGCUUUUCAAACAAAUUACCAAAUCAUAUUAAUGACACAACUUUCCAAAAUUUCUUUAAAACGUUAUAAACAUAAUUUUUUUUAUUAAUUAUUAGAAUUUUUCUUAGCUUACGGCAAAAUUUAAAUCUUACAAAAAUUUUUUUUAUGGACAAUAUCCAAAAAAAAAUGAGUUUAGGGGAGAUAUUUAUUAUUACAAAAAAAAUUUUAUAUACAAAUUAUCGGUUUAACACAUUUAGCUUUUAGAUUAACAAAUUUUCUUUAGUUUCCCAUUUUAAGUUUUUGUAGAUUCUAAGCUUUAGAUUUAAGUAGAUUUAGGCUUUAGUAGUAUGAUUUCACAAUAUAAUCUCUUAGUUUUAAAGCAGUAUAUUUUAAAUUUUAGGUUUUAAGUUUAAAUAGAUUUAAGAAUUUAGCUUUUGACAAAUUGUUUUCAGCUUUUAGUUUUAUCAAAUUUUUAAAUUUUAAGUAUUUUUAGAUUUCAGCUUUUAAGUAUUUUUAUCUUUUAGCUUUUAAGUAUCUUUAGAUUUUAGCUUUUAAGUAUUUUUAGAUUUUAAGUAUCUUUAGAUUUUAGCUUUUAAGUAUCUUUAUAUUUUAGCUUUUAAGUAUUUUUUUUUUUACUUUCUCCUCUUUCUUCUACAGGUCCUACGGCUAUGGAGUUGGCAGGUGUUGCAGUGGGGUUUCCGUCGUCCGUAUUCUGUCCAGGUCCGGGUAAUUCAGGUCAGUUUGCAAAAAUUUUAAAUAUCUUUUAAAUAAUUAUUUAUAUAUAUUUAUUUUUUUUUUACAUAUAUAUACGUAUAAAAAUACUGAGCUACUGGGUGCAAAUCUGCCGCAAAUUCUUCUAAAAAACUAGGCCUGAGCUCAACCCUAACGUCGCGCACGCUUGGCGGUAAUUUUUGGCCAGCGGUCUGGUCCGAUUCUAACCAAUGGUACUGUCAGUCCGUCUUGUCGAUCAGGGUCAAAAAUCUUUAUGGUCGAAACCUUUGGUAUACCUGCGCACCCCAGGAUUGGCAGUGCGGAGCCGAUGUUCCCAAAUUAAAGAUCCCACGUUGGAAGUCGGCAGAGGUGGCGUUGAAAUAUUUGUAUAACCUUUUUUUUUUUUUGGUGUUCAAUUUAUAUAAUUUAUAUUAUAUUGUUUGAUUUAAAUAAAGACUUUAAAAAUG